AGAGUUUGAUCAUGGCUCAGGAUGAACGCUAGCGACAGGCCUAACACAUGCAAGUCGAGGGGCAUCGGGACGUAGCAAUACGUUGCCGGCGACCGGCGGAUGGGUGAGUAACGCGUAUGCAACCUACCCGUAGCAGGGGGAUAGCCCGUUGAAAGACGGAUUAAUACCCCGUAACACAGGGGCUCCGCAUGGAGAUUAUUGUUAAAGGGUCAUUUCUUUUAGAGGUGGUCCGGCUACGGAUGGGCAUGCGUUCCAUUAGGUAGUUGGUGUAGGUAACGGCUCACCAAGCCGACGAUGGAUAGGGGAACUGAGAGGUUGGUCCCCCACACUGGUACUGAGACACGGACCAGACUCCUACGGGAGGCAGCAGUGAGGAAUCUUGGUCAAUGGACGCAAGUCUGAACCAGCCAUGUCGCGUGAAGGAGGACGGCCCUAAGGGUUGUAAACUUCUUUUGCAGCGGAAUAAAGUUUGCCACGAGUUGGCGAUUUGCAAGUACGCUGCGAAUAAGGAUCGGCUAACUCCGUGCCAGCAGCCGCGGUAAUACGGAGGAUCCGGGCGUUAUCCGGAUUUAUUGGGUUUAAAGGGUGCGCAGGCGGGGAUUUAGGUCGGCGGUGAAAUUUCGGGGCUCAACCUCGAUAGUGCCGUUGAAACCGUUUCUCUUGAGUGCGGAUGAGGUAGGCGGAAUUUGUGGUGUAGCGGUGAAAUGCGUAGAUAUCACAAGGAACACCGAUUGCGGAGGCAGCUUACUAAACCGUUACUGACGCUCAUGCACGAAGGCGUGGGGAUCAAACAGGAUUAGAUACCCUGUAGUCCACGCAGUAAACGAUGAUUACUUGCUGUUUGCGAUACACAGUAAGCGGCGUAGCGAAAGCGUUAAGUAAUCCACCUGGGGAGUACGUUCGCAGAAUGAAACUCAAGGAAUUGACGGGGGCCCGCACAAGCGGA
rnacentral:rRNA from 1 species